rnacentral:rRNA from 1 species
UGAGUAAUGUCUGGGAAACUGCCUGAUGGAGGGGGAUAACUACUGGAAACGGUAGCUAAUACCGCAUAACGUCUUCGGACCAAAGUGGGGGACCUUCGGGCCUCAUGCCAUCAGAUGUGCCCAGAUGGGAUUAGCUAGUAGGUGGGGUAAUGGCUCACCUAGGCGACGAUCCCUAGCUGGUCUGAGAGGAUGACCAGCCACACUGGAACUGAGACACGGUCCAGACUCCUACGGGAGGCAGCAGUGGGGAAUAUUGCACAAUGGGCGCAAGCCUGAUGCAGCCAUGCCGCGUGUAUGAAGAAGGCCUUCGGGUUGUAAAGUACUUUCAGCGAGGAGGAAGGCAUUAAGGUUAAUAACCUUAGUGAUUGACGUUACUCGCAGAAGAAGCACCGGCUAACUCCGUGCCAGCAGCCGCGGUAAUACGGAGGGUGCAAGCGUUAAUCGGAAUUACUGGGCGUAAAGCGCACGCAGGCGGUCUGUCAAGUCGGAUGUGAAGUCCCCGGG